AUGACGGUACUAAGCUGGAACUCUCGAGGCCUCGGGCAACCUCGAACAGUUCAAGUGCUAGUGUGCCUCGUGCACACAUACAAGCCCAAGCUCGUCUUCCUCACUGAAACACGGCAAAGCAAUAAGUAUGUCAUGAACCUCAAGGGGAGGCUGGGCCUCCGCCACUGUAUCGCACAACCCGGCAUUGGAAAAGGUGCCGGCAUUGCCCUCUUCUAUGAUGAGAAUGUUGAAAUAAAAAAGAUUGCCGUUGUGACGAGGUAUAUUGAUGUGUUAAUU
rnacentral:rRNA from 1 species